rnacentral:lncRNA from 1 species
GUCAAUUUUUAACCAUUUUUUGUAAAUCUUAGUAAUCUUUUACAAAAAUCUUCUCCUCUGAAACUACUGGGCCAAAUUAAACUAAACUUGGCCACAAUCAUCAUUGGGAUAUCUAGUUUAAAAAAUGUGUGGCGUGACCCGGCCAAACAACCAAGAUGGCCGCCAUGGCUAAAAAUAGAACAUAGGGGUAAAAUUCAGUUUUUGACAUAUAACUCAAAAACCAAAGCAUUUAAAGUAAAUCUGACAUGAAGUAAAAUUGUUAAUCAGGUCAAGAUCUAUCUGCCCUGCAAUUUUCAGAUGAAUCGGACAACCCGUUGUUAGGUUGCUGCCCCUGAAUUGGUAAUUUUAAGGAAAUUUUGCUGUUUUUGGUUAUUAUCUUGAAUAUUUUUAUAGAUAGAGAUAAACUGUAAAAGCAAUAAAUGUCGGCAAAGUAAGAUCUACAAAUAAGUCAACAUGACCGAAAUGGUCAGUUGACCCUUUAGGAGUAUUGCCUUUAUAGUCAUUUUUAACCAUUUUCGUAAUCUAGUUAUCUUUCCAAAAAUCUUCUCCUCUGAAAACUACUGGGCAAGUUCAUUAUAGAUAGAGAUAUUGUAAGCAGCAAGAAUGUUCAGUAAAGUAAGAUGUACAACACACUCACCAUCACCCAAAACACAAUUUUGUCAUGAACCAUCUGCUUCCUUUGUUUAAUAUUCACAUAGACCAAGGUGAGCGACACAGGCUCUUUAGAGCCUCUAGUUUUCUUCUUGUUUUGGGUCCUACUAAAAUGCGCCCGGGUGAAGAAAAAGCGCCCGGGGAAGAAAAUAUAGCGCCCGGGGAAAAUAUAUAGAUAUUUUAUUGGCAUGAGACAACUUUGUUAAGUUAUGGACAUUGAUUUUUAGCUCACCUGGCCCGAAGGGCCAAGUGAGCUUUUCCCAUCACUUGGCGUCCGUCGUCCGUCGUCGUUAACUUUUACAAAAAUCUUCUCCUCUGAAACUACUGGGCCAAAUUAAACAAACUUGGCCACAAUCAUCAUUGGGGUACUAGUUUAAAAAAUGUGUGGCGUGACCCGCAACCAACCAAGAUGGCCCCCAUGGCUAAAAAUAGAACAUAGGGUAAAAUGCAGUUUUUGGCUUAUAACUCAAAAACCAAAGCAUUUAGAGCAAAUCUGACAUGGGGUAAAAUUGUUUAUCAGGUCAAGAUCUAUCUGCGCUCAAAUUUUCAGAUGAAUCCGACAACCCGUUAUUGGGUUGCUGCCCC